GACGAACGCUGGCGGCGUGCCUAAUACAUGCAAGUAGAACGCACAGUUUAUACCGUAGCUUGCUACACCAUAGACUGUGAGUUGCGAACGGGUGAGUAACGCGUAGGUAACCUGCCUGGUAGCGGGGGAUAACUAUUGGAAACGAUACCUAAUACCGCAUAAUACUGAUUAUUGCAUGAUAAUUGAUUGAAAGAUGCUAUUGCAUCGCUACCAGAUGGACCUGCGUUGUAUUAGCUAGUAGGGGAGGUAACGGCUCACCUAAGCGAAGAUACAUAGCCGAACUGGGAGGGGGGAUGGCCACACUGGGAAUGGGGAAAGGCCCAGAAUCCUACGGGAGGGAGGAGGAGGGGAACUUCGGGAAAGGGCGGAAGGCUGAACGGGGAACGCCGCGUGAGGGAAGGAGGGUUUCGGGUCGUAAAGCUCUGUUUUAAGGGGAGAAAGGAUGUGGGAGUGGAAAGUUCACGUUGUGACGGUAUCUAACCAGAAAGGGACGGCUAACUACGUG
rnacentral:rRNA from 1 species